UUAUUGUCGAGCCUGCGACUUUUGUCGCAGAAAGCUCGACAUAGGGAUAGCGAUCCGGCGGCGGCGUUAGCUAACUUCUUAAAAGCUUUAUAUUUUAGAAGAUGAAAGACCUGGAUGCUUCAUACUUUGUAUAUGGAUGCCUCAUGUUACGAAGUUUCCGUCAGUCACAUGUCCAAUGUCCUUGACCUCAUUUUCAUGGUUCAGUGACUACUUGAAAAAAAAGUUCAGAUUUUUUGUAAUGUUAAAUUCUCUCUUAUUAUAAGUAAUAGGAUAACUAUAUUUGGUAUGUGCGUACCUUGCAAGGUCCUCAUGCCCGUCAGACAGUUUUCACUUGACCUCGACCUCAUUUCAUGGAUCAGUGAACAAGGUUAAGUUUUCGUGGUCAAGUCCAUAUCUCAGAUACUAUAAGCAAUAGGUCUAGUAUAUUUGGUGUAUGGAAGGACUGUAAGGUGUACAUGUCCAACUGGCAGGUGUCAUCUGACCUUGACCUCAUUUUCAUGGUUCAGUGGUCAAAGUUAAGUUUUUGAGUUUGGUCUUUUUUUCUAAUACUAUAUGCAAUAGUUCAACUAUAUUUGGUGUAUGGAAAUAUUUUAUGAUCUAUAUGUCAGUCACGCAGGUUUUAUUUGACCUUGACCUCAUUUUCAAGGUUCAUUGCUCAGUGUUAAGUUUUUGUGUUUUCGUCUGUUUUUCUUAAACUAUAAGCAAUAGGUCAACUAUAUUUGUUGUAUGGAAGAAUUGUUAGCUGUACAUGCCUGCCUAGCAUGGUUCAUCUGACCUUGACCUCAUUUUCAUGGUUCAUUGGUCAAUGUUUAGUUUACUUGGUUAAUGUUAAGUUUAUGUGACAGUUGUAAUAAAGCUUUAUAUUUAGGACUAUCAACAAAAAAUCAAUGAUUAGUAAAGAAGGCGAGACAUUUCAGCGUGUGCACUCUUGUAUUUCAA